AGUGUUGGUGGGUCAGUGAAGGAGUUGAAGACGAAGGAGGAGCUUGAUCACGUGCGCCAGAGUGGCGCACCGGUUAUCCUGCACUUCUGGGCAUCAUGGUGUGAAGCCUCUAAGCACAUGGACCAAGUUUUUUCUCACCUUUCUACCGAUUUUCCACAUGCCCAUUUCUUCAGGGUAUCUUUUUUUUUUCCUUUUUUUUUUGUUGGGUUUUUAGCUUUUGCUUUUUUGGGUGGUUUUGUGUUUUAAUUUUAAGUGAUCGAAAUCGUUUUUUAGGUUGAAGCUGAAGAGCACCCCGAAAUUUCUGAAGCUUACUCUGUUUCAGCUGUGCCUUUCUUUGUCUUCUUCAAGGUUCUUUUUCUAAAUUUUAUUGUUUAUUUUUUAGCUUAAUUGAGGUAUUGGUUUGCUUGGUUGUUAUUCUUGUUUAUGUUUUAUAGGGUAUAUGAGAUGAAGUAUAAUUAUAUCUUGUUUACUUGAAUCUCUAAGGUAUUAUUCUCUGUUUGGUUUUACAGAUACGGCUUGAAUCGUUCAAGUGGGAGGGUUUUUGUGGUUGUUUGAAACUAAUGCUCAUUAGCAGUUUAGCAAAGGGUAGAAAUUAGUGUUGUUGGUUUUACUUUUAGGCUUUUCACUUUAUCUUUGUUGAUUGUGGCAUAUAGUCUCCUGUUGUGGUCUGUAGUGUUUGAUUAAAUUUUGUUAGGCUUUUUUUUCUUUUUUUGGGUUGGGUUUAUAGUUAGAUAUUCUACUUGAACUAGGUGUGGAUCAUUUUGUAAUCCUUCCUUAGAUACAUUAGCAAUUAUUACAAGCCACUGAUUCUUUCGAAUUGGGUCUAGAGGAUAUCUCUGUGUUUAUGCAUCUCAAGGAAAACAGCCAACCAGUCAAUUGUAUGUGCAAAUACUUUUUGUAGUCGAUAAGCUUUCUUCUCUGUCUAGGUUUUGGUUUCUUUCACCGAUGACAAUCUUUUAGGUAUUCUAUUUGUGUUUAUAUGUGUUCGCUUAGUAAUUGAAUAAUUGUUUAAUGUAGUUGCUUCACUCACCUAUUGCUUUUUAACUGAAUAUCUCAAAUGAAUUUGCUUGAUAGGAUGGUAAGGCUAUUGAUUCAUUGGAGGGUGCUGAUCCAUCCAGUUUGGCCAACAAGGUUGCUAAGGUUGCUGGAUCAGUUAACUCAGGAGAACCUGCUGCCCCUGCCAGCCUUGGGAUGGCUGCUGGACCCGCUAUACUUGAAGCUGUAAAAGAGUUGGCAAAACAAAAUGGCUCUUCCCAAGUGAACAAGGAAGUGGAGCCUGGUCUCAGUGAUGCUCUUAAAAAGCGGCUGCAGCAGCUGCUUGACUCUCACCCUGUCAUGCUAUUUAUGAAGGGAACUCCUGAAGAGCCCAAGUGUGGGUUCAGUAGGCAAGUUGUUGACAUUUUGAAAGAUGAAAAGGUCGAGUUUGGAAGUUUCAACAUUCUUUCGGACAAUGAGGUUCGUGAGGGAUU
rnacentral:lncRNA from 1 species